AAGUCGAACGAAGCGCUUCGGUGCUUAGUGGCGGACGGGUGAGUAACGCGUGAGAAUCUGCCUUCAGGACGGGGAUAACAGUGGGAAACUACUGCUAAUACCGGAUAAGCCGAGAGGUGAAAGGAAAUUCGCCUGAGGAUGAGCUCGCGUCUGAUUAGCUAGUUGGUAGGGUAAGAGCUUACCAAGGCAACGAUCAGUAGCUGGUCUGAGAGGAUGAGCAGCCACACUGGGACUGAGACACGGCCCAGACUCCUACGGGAGGCAGCAGUGGGGAAUUUUCCGCAAUGGGCGCAAGCCUGACGGAGCAAUACCGCGUGAGGGAGGAAGGCUUUUGGGUUGUAAACCUCUUUUCUCAAGGAAGAACAAAAUGACGGUACUUGAGGAAUAAGCAUCGGCUAACUCCGUGCCAGCAGCCGCGGUAAUACGGAGGAUGCAAGCGUUAUCCGGAAUUAUUGGGCGUAAAGCGUCCGUAGGUGGCUGAACAAGUCUGCUGUUAAAGACCAAAGCUUAACUUUGGCAAAGCAGUGGAAACUGUACAGCUAGAGUCCGGUAGGGGUAGAGGGAAUUUCCAGUGUAGCGGUGAAAUGCGUAGAGAUUGGAAAGAACACCAGUGGCGAAAGCGCUCUACUGGGCCGGAACUGACACUGAGGGACGAAAGCUAGGGGAGCGAAAGGGAUUAGAUACCCCUGUAGUCUUAGCUGUAAACGAUGGAUACUAGGCGUUGCUUGUAUCGACCCGAGCAGUGCCGUAGCUAACGCGAUAAGUAUCCCGCCUGGGGAGUACGCACGCAAGUGUGAAACUCAAAGGAAUUGACGGGGGCCCGCACAAGCGGUGGAGUAUGUGGUUUAAUUCGAUGCAACGCGAAGAACCUUACCAGGACUUGACAUCUGGCGAACCCUGGUGAAAGCUGGGGGUGCCUUCGGGAACGCCAAGACAGGUGGUGCAUGGCUGUCGUCAGCUCGUGUCGUGAGAUGUUGGGUUAAGUCCCGCAACGAGCGCAACCCUCGUCCUUAGUUGCCAGCAUUAAGUUGGGCACUUUAGGGAGACUGCCGGUGACAAACCGGAGGAAGGUGGGGAUGACGUCAAGUCAGCAUGCCCCUUACGUUCUGGGCUACACACGUACUACAAUGGCAGGGACAAAGGGCAGCCAACUCGUAAGAGUGAGCGAAUCUCAUCAAACCCUGCCUCAGUUCAGAUUGCAGGCUGCAACUCGCCUGCAUGAAGGAGGAAUCGCUAGUAAUCGCCGGUCAGCAUACGGCGGUGAAUCCGUUCCCGGGCCUUGUACACACCGCCCGUCACACCAUGGAAGCUGGCCACGCCCGAAGUCGUUACCCUAACCGCUAGUCGGAGGGGG
rnacentral:rRNA from 1 species